rnacentral:rRNA from 1 species
GAUGAACGCUGGCGGCGUGCCUAAUACAUGCAAGUCGAGCGAACAGACGAGGAGCUUGCUCCUUUGACGUUAGCGGCGGACGGGUGAGUAACACGUAGGUAACCUACCUAUAAGACUGGGAUAACUUCGGGAAACCGGAGCUAAUACCGGAUAAUAUUUCGAACCGCAUGGUUCGAUAGUGAAAGAUGGCUUUUCUAUCACUUAUAGAUGGACCUGCGCCGUAUUAGCUAGUUGGUAAGGUAACGGCUUACCAAGGCAACGAUGCGUAGCCGACCUGAGAGAGUGAUAGGCCACACUGGAACUGAGACACGGUCCAGACUCCUACGGGAGGCAGCAGUAGGGAAUCUUCCGCAAUGGGCGAAAGCCUGACGGAGCAACGCCGCGUGAGUGAUGAAGGUCUUCGGAUCGUAAAACUCUGUUAUUAGGGAAGAACAAACGUGUAAGUAACUGUGCACGUCUUGACGGUACCUAAUCAGAAAGCCACGGCUAACUACGUG